CCUCCAACUGCCGCCAGCCUAACCACCGGCCCUGGGGCCCCUGCAAGGCGGGUGCUGGGCCCCCUAGGAGUGAGUCCAGGUCAAGCCAGACAGCUGCAAUUUCACUAGGAGUCCUGCCACGCUGGGUCACAGACCAAGCUUGGAGAAGAUGCUGCCUGAGAGGAAGGAGGCAGGCCAGGGUACAGGCCCACAAGUGGCACCCCACCGUGUUACCAGAAGACCCACCAACAGGGUCCACCUCUGGCCCAAGCAGGGAGUGCUUUCCUUGUACACACAGUGGGUGCGGCUCAGGGAAGACAGAAACCAGGGGCCAACACACUACGUAACAUUCAUCAUGUAAUUGAAUGAUGUGGUAGCCAAUGUGAUCCUGCUAACAAGGCUGCCCACCCAGCAAAGAGGGUGUCUACUCUACCUCUGCCAGCGACCCAAGACUCCUGAAGUGAAAGGCCAGUGACUGUCCUUCUCCAGAGAAAGCGACGAAUCUGCCUCCAGCUUCAUCCUGAGUGUGAAGAGAAAAUACCAUUUUCAGAAACUCCUUGGAAGUUUAAUAAAUGCUUUAUUCUGUUGACUCAUGUACCAUCUGCCCAUUUUCCUUACUCCCACAUUUAUAAAAAGAAAUGUCUUUGAAAUAGAAAUACAAGUUAUAAUCUACUGAAUUGAAAACAAAACGAUGGAAUCACAACUGUCUACCACAGCCUUUUUUCUCAGGUUGAGUAUAUAUCUUUUUGCAAAGGUAUCACAUUUUCAAUGUAAAAAAUACAAAAUACACCCCC